UACGUAGGUGGCAAGCGUUAUCCGGAUUUAUUGGGCGUAAAGGGAACGCAGGCGGUCUUUUAAGUCUGAUGUGAAAGCCUUCGGCUUAACCGGAGUAGUGCAUUGGAAACUGGGAGACUUGAGUGCAGAAGAGGAGAGUGGAACUCCAUGUGUAGCGGUGAAAUGCGUAGAUAUAUGGAAGAACACCAGUGGCGAAAGCGGCUCUCUGGACUGUAACUGACGCUGAGGUUCGAAAGCGUGGGUAGCAAACAGG
rnacentral:rRNA from 1 species